rnacentral:rRNA from 1 species
GAUGAACGCUGGCGGCGUGCCUAAUACAUGCAAGCCGAGCGAACGGACGAGAAGCUUGCUUCUCUGAUGUUAGCGGCGGACGGGUGAGUAACACGUGGAUAACCUACCUAUAAGACUGGGAUAACUUCGGGAAACCGGAGCUAAUACCGGAUAAUAUUUUGAACCGCAUGGUUCAAAAGUGAAAGACGGUCUUGCUGUCACUUAUAGAUGGAUCCGCGCUGCAUUAGCUAGUUGGUAAGGUAACGGCUUACCAAGGCAACGAUGCAUAGCCGACCUGAGAGGGUGAUCGGCCACACUGGAACUGAGACACGGUCCAGACUCCUACGGGAGGCAGCAGUAGGGAAUCUUCCGCAAUGGGCGAAAGCCUGACGGAGCAACGCCGCGUGAGUGAUGAAGGUCUUCGGAUCGUAAAACUCUGUUAUUAGGGAAGAACAUAUGUGUAAGUAACUGUGCACAUCUUGACGGUACCUAAUCAGAAAGCCACGGCUAACUACGU